rnacentral:lncRNA from 1 species
GACUUUUUUUUUUUUUUUUUUUUUAGAGAGAGAAUUUCAAUACACAACCCAGGCUGCAUGCAUGCCAGGCGAGCGCGCUACCACUUGAGCCACAUCCCCAGCUCUCUUCACUGACAUUUGAUCCUUACAUCAAAUCCUUACCCUGAUUUUGAUCCUUACACAUUGUAUACUUGUAUUGAAAUACCACACUAUACUCCCUAAAUAUGUGUAAUUACUGUCAGUUAAAAAUGUAUUAAAAUAAAGCAGCACCUUUUGUCUUGUGGAAAAGAAAUUUAGAACAGUGGCAAAGUACAAUUUUGAGUCAAACUUGUGAUUCAGAUUUCUUUUUUUUUUUUUUUCAGAAUUUCCAAAUGCAUCUCCUUGACUGAGCCUCCUACAUGGAGAAGCUCAGAGUCCCAGCCUCGUACCUCACUAAUGUCCUGGACAUCAGACAAACUUAGCUGAAUGCUUUCUACUGCCAAGCUUUUGCUGCUGUUGCUUUUGUGUGUGUGUGUGGUUGGGGGUGGUAUUGGGGGUUGAACUCAGGGGCACUCUACCACAUCUACACCCUCAGCCCUUUAUUUUUGAGACAAGCUCUCACUAAGUUGUUGAGGCUUGCCUCAAACUUGCAAUCCUCCAGCUUCAGCCUCCCACCUCUAUGGAUUUACAAGCAUGUGCCAUUACCCUUGGCCAGGCCUUUACUUCUGCUUUGCUCCCUACCAGAAAUGCUCUUUCUUCCUCUUGUUGAGUUUCUGCCCAUACUUAGAGGCCAGGAGCUGAAGGGAAGGUAGUGACUUUUUUGCCUGAGGCACAGAUCCAGGGGCUGCCUGAUUGCCCUAACGUGGGGUCUGUGAUUAAGAACUGGUUUGUGGGGGCUGGGACUGUGGCUCAGAGGUAGCACACUUGCCUGGCAUGUGUGAGGCAUUGGGUUGAAUUCUCAGCACCACGUAUAAACUAUUUAAAUAAAGGUCUA